rnacentral:rRNA from 1 species
AGUGAACGCUGGCGGUAGGCCUAACACAUGCAAGUCGAACGGCAGCACAGUAAGAGCUUGCUCUUACGGGUGGCGAGUGGCGGACGGGUGAGGAAUACAUCGGAAUCUACUUUUUCGUUGGGGAUAACGUAGGGAAACUUACGCUAAUACCGCAUACGACCUACGGGUGAAAGCAGGGGAUCUUCGGACCUUGCGCGAUUGAAUGAGCCGAUGUCGGAUUAGCUAGUUGGCGGGGUAAAGGCCCACCAAGGCGACGAUCCGUAGCUGGUCUGAGAGGAUGAUCAGCCACACUGGAACUGAGACACGGUCCAGACUCCUACGGGAGGCAGCAGUGGGGAAUAUUGGACAAUGGGCGCAAGCCUGAUCCAGCCAUGCCGCGUGGGUGAAGAAGGCCUUCGGGUUGUAAAGCCCUUUUGUUGGGAAAGAAAAGCAGCAGGUUAAUACCCCGCUGUUCUGACGGUACCCAAAGAAUAAGCACCGGCUAACUUCGUG